GAUGUACAUUGGCCAUUUAUAAGUUCAAUCCCUCUAUUGAUUAAUGCAGUAGCUUUGACCAGUUUCAUUCCUGGCCUCCUCCUGUUGGUUUUCUGCUCUGAGGGGCUCAUUAUCAUGGGACCAGACUUAAUGUAGACACCUGAUUGGCUUAGCUCUCUGCAGCUCAGAACUACCUGGCUUAUGAGAUCCACCUGCUUUAGCCUCCCCCAACAGGAAUUACAAGUAUGUACUCACUACACUUCAUUUUAACAGAUGGAUUUGAUGAAAGCUCAAGAGAAGAGAGAUCUUGGAUUCUAGUUUCAAGAGAGAAGACAUGCAGUUUCAUACUUCAAGUUCCUGAAGGGAGAGGAAGACUGGAGAAAAGGUCAACAUGAGGAGAAGUCAUGAAAUUUUCCCUAUGCCCAGUUUAUCACAUUAAAGACUUUAGGAAAUUAUCCUUGAAAUUGUCUUGGUUGAA
rnacentral:lncRNA from 1 species